CCUACGGGUGGCAGCAGUGGGGAAUAUUGCGCAAUGGGGGAAACCCUGACGCAGCAACGCCGCGUGAGUGAAGAAGUUUCUCGGUAUGUAAAGCUCUAUCAGCGGGGAAGAAGGAUGACGCUACCCGACUAAGCAGCCCCGGCCGACUACGUGCCAGCAGCCGCGGUCAUACGGAGGGGGCGGGCGUUAUCCGGGUUUACUGGGGGUAAAGGGAGCGUAGACGGGGGUGCAAGGCUGAAGGGAAAGCCCGGGGCGCAACCGCGGAACCGCGGUGGAAACUGCUAGGCUGGAGUGCGGGAGAGGUAAGCGGAAUGCGUGGUGUAGCGGUGAAAUGCGUAGAUAUCAGGAAGAACACCGAUGGCGAAGGCGGCUUACUGGACAGUGACUGACGUUGAGGCACGAAAGCGUGGGGAGCGAACAGGAUUAGAUACCCUGGUAGUC
rnacentral:rRNA from 1 species